rnacentral:rRNA from 1 species
AGAGUUUGAUCCUGGCUCAGGACGAACGCUGGCGGCACGCUUAACACAUGCAAGUCGAACGAGAGAAGAGGAGCUUGCUUUUCUGAUCUAGUGGCGGACGGGUGAGUAACACGUGAGCAAUCUGCCUUUCAGAGGGGGAUACCGAUUGGAAACGAUCGUUAAUACCGCAUAACAUAAUUGAACCGCAUGAUUUGAUUAUCAAAGAUUUAUCGCUGAAAGAUGAGCUCGCGUCUGAUUAGCUAGUUGGUAAGGUAACGGCUUACCAAGGCGACGAUCAGUAGCCGGACUGAGAGGUUGAUCGGCCACAUUGGAACUGAGACACGGCCCAGACUCCUACGGGAGGCAGCAGUGGGGAAUAUUGCACAAUGGAGGAAACUCUGAUGCAGCGAUGCCGCGUGAGGGAAGAAGGUUUUAGGAUUGUAAACCUCUGUCUUCAGGGACGAAAAAAGACGGUACCUGAGGAGGAAGCUCCGGCUAACUACGUGCCAGCAGCCGCGGUAAUACGUAGGGAGCGAGCGUUGUCCGGAAUUACUGGGUGUAAAGGGAGCGUAGGCGGGAUCGCAAGUCAGAUGUGAAAACUAUGGGCUUAACCCAUAAACUGCAUUUGAAACUGCGGUUCUUGAGUGAAGUAGAGGUAAGCGGAAUUCCUAGUGUAGCGGUGAAAUGCGUAGAUAUUAGGAGGAACAUCAGUGGCGAAGGCGGCUUACUGGGCUUUAACUGACGCUGAGGCUCGAAAGCGUGGGGAGCAAACAGGAUUAGAUACCCUGGUAGUCCACGCCGUAAACGAUGAUUACUAGGUGUGGGGGGACUGACCCCUUCCGUGCCGCAGCAAACGCAAUAAGUAAUCCACCUGGGGAGUACGACCGCAAGGUUGAAACUCAAAGGAAUUGACGGGGGCCCGCACAAGCAGUGGAGUAUGUGGAUUAAUUCGAAGCAACGCGAAGAACCUUACCAGGUCUUGACAUCGUAUGCAUAGCUCAGAGAUGAGUGAAAUCUCUUCGGAGACAUAUAGACAGGUGGUGCAUGGUUGUCGUCAGCUCGUGUCGUGAGAUGUUGGGUUAAGUCCCGCAACGAGCGCAACCCUUACUGUUAGUUGCUACGCAAGAGCACUCUAGCAGGACUGCCGUUGACAAAACGGAGGAAGGUGGGGAUGACGUCAAAUCAUCAUGCCCCUUAUGACCUGGGCCUCACACGUACUACAAUGGCUGUCAACAGAGGGAAGCAAAGCCGCGAGGUGGAGCGAACCCCUAAAAGCAGUCUUAGUUCGGAUUGUAGGCUGCAACCCGCCUACAUGAAGUCGGAAUUGCUAGUAAUUGCAGAUCAGCAUGCUGCGAUGAAUACGUUCCCGGGCCUUGUACACACCGCCCGUCACGCCAUGGGAGUCGGUAACACCCGAAGCCUGUAGUCUAACCGCAAGGAGGACGCAGUCGAAGGUGGGACUGAUGACUGGGGUGAAGUCGUAACAAGGUA